CUCAAACCCAGGAUCUUAGACAUACAAAACCAUUGCUGUACCACUGAACUGUAUUCUGGCUCUGAGGAAGAUAUUUUUGAAAAAAUGUUGUAAAGUUUGCCAGAUCCUAUGAGUGAAUAACCUCAAAAGAGAAGAGGAGGGGACGCCCAUCAGUGAUAAAGGGUACUUGCUUUUACAGGUGAUCCUACAAGUUGAAAUCAGUUUGCUUCUGAAUUUCGUCCCAGGAAAAUGAAGAUCUAGAACGCACAUCGACACAGCAGGGAUUCUGAGGAGUAAUGCGUCCAUGAAUAUCUCAGACGGAGGAGACAUGGACAAAGGAACAGGUAUCUCACUCCAUUAGGUAAGUGAUAGUUGACCAUGGAAGAAACAUUUUGCUGGUGUAGUGGCUCAUGGCUCAUGCCUGUAAUGCCACCACUUGGGAGGCUGAGCCAGGAGGAUCCAGGCAGGGCUGCAUAGUUAAGAUUCAUCUCAACUGAAGAA